rnacentral:lncRNA from 1 species
UCAAAUUGCUUCAAGAGGAUAUUCAGUGUUGUUUGGCCGGGCCGGAGGUUAUACAGGAGUUGUACUUCGAAAAUAAGCGAAUAAGAACAUAGAGAGAAGUGUAAAUUCUUCAUCAUCAUCUAUAUGUGUUGCAGCUCCGAGAAACUAGAACGCCCGCUGGAGGGCUACUGAUGACGGUAUCACACUUACCAUGAAGCCAGUAAGUAUAGUGGAAGAGGCCAAGGGUCGCUUUCAGCUUGAACGUAGCUCGUAUGUUGUAAGUGACCUUGUUACUCAGCACUUGCUUUUGGAGUUCCACAGCAGAACUCUGUGGCAAAUAGACCAGACUCGAUAUGACACGAACUGUUUGCCACGAUAUCGCUCUCGGUCUCUGA